GGCAAGGUGGCGCCAUGGUUUGAGAGUCGGACUGCGACUCUGGAGACCUGGGUUCGAAUCCUGGCUCGGCCA